CAGCCGCCGCGGGAAUACGAAGGGGGCUAGCGUUGCCCGGAAUGACUGGGCGUAAAGGGCGCGUAGGCGGCGAUCAAAGUCAGGCGUGAAAUUCCUGGGCUCAACCUGGGGGCUGCGUUUGAUACUUGGUUGCUAGAGUGAGGAAGAGGGUCGUGGAAUUCCCAGUGUAGAGGUGAAAUUCGUAGAUAUUGGGAAGAACACCGGUGGCGAAGGCGGCGACCUGGUCCUUGACUGACGCUGAGGCGCGAAAGCGUGGGGAGCAAACAGGAUUAGAUACCCGCGUAGUCCCUGUCUCUUAUAC
rnacentral:rRNA from 1 species